rnacentral:rRNA from 1 species
AGAGUUUGAUCCUGGCUCAGGAUGAACGCUGGCGGCGUGCCUAAUACAUGCAAGUCGAGCGAACCACUUCGGUGGGAAGCGGCGAACGGGUGAGUAACACGUAGGUGAUCUGCCCAUCAGACGGGGACAACGAUUGGAAACGAUCGCUAAUACCGGAUAGGACGAAAGUUUAAAGAUGCUCCUGGCAUCACUGAUGGAUGAGCCUGCGGCGCAUUAGCUAGUUGGUGGGGUAAAGGCCUACCAAGGCGACGAUGCGUAGCCGACCUGAGAGGGUGAACGGCCACACUGGGACUGAGACACGGCCCAGACUCCUGCGGGAGGCAGCAGUAGGGAAUCUUCGGCAAUGGGCGAAAGCCUGACCGAGCAACGCCGCGUGAAUGAAGAAGGCCUUCGGGUUGUAAAAUUCUGUUAUAAGGGAAGAAAGGUGAUAGGAGGAAAUGACUAUCAAUUGACGGUACCUUAUGAGAAAGCCACGGCUAACUACGUG